rnacentral:rRNA from 1 species
CUUGUGGUCGGUAUACAGGUGGUGCAUGGCUGUCGUCAGCUCGUGUCGUGAGAUGUUGGGUUAAGUCCCGCAACGAGCGCAACCCUUGUUCUGUGUUGCCAGCAUGCCCUUCGGGGUGAUGGGGACUCACAGGAGACUGCCGGGGUCAACUCGGAGGAAGGUGGGGACGACGUCAAGUCAUCAUGCCCCUUAUGUCUUGGGCUGCACACGUGCUACAAUGGCCGGUACAAUGAGCUGCGAUGCCGCGAGGCGGAGCGAAUCUCAAAAAGCCGGUCUCAGUUCGGAUUGGGGUCUGCAACUCGACCCCAUGAAGUCGGAGUUGCUAGUAAUCGCAGAUCAGCAUUGCUGCGGUGAAUACGUUCCCGGGU